UACGUAGGGUGCGAGCGUUGUCCGGAAUUAUUGGGCGUAAAGAGCUCGUAGGCGGUGUGUCGCGUCGGCCGUGAAAACUUGCAGCUUAACUGUGGGCGUGCGGUCGAUACGGGCAUCACUGGAGUUCGGCAGGGGAGACUGGAAUUCCUGGUGUAGUGGUGAAAUGCGUAGAUAUCGGGAGGAACACCAGUGGCGAAGGCGACUUCCUGGCCUGUUCUUGACGCUGAGGCGCGAAAGCUAGGGGAGCAAACGGG
rnacentral:rRNA from 1 species